UCCGACUCAUGCCCAUUCUGCACGUCCAUUGAAUCAGCGUCCCACAUACUUCUCCACUGCUCUAUUGUUGCUGACGUCUGGUCGACGGUCGACUCUCUUAACAUCAACCCUGCAGAAUGCUCCUCCAUCAAAGACUUGUCGGGGCUCCAGCCUCCUUACAAGAUUCGCAACACGGUAAUUAUGGCUAUUCUUUGGAGUCUAUGGAAAAGAAGAAAUGCUAAAGUCUUCAGAAACGAGGAUGAACCCCGAGGACUUGUCCUUCGACGUGCGGCUCAAGACAUUUUUCUUUGGUCCGGUAGAUGUGUAAACGCAGAUAUAAAGCAAAUUCUAUUUGAUUGGGGAAUCAUGUUGUCCCGGCUAGAUGUAGCAUAG
rnacentral:rRNA from 1 species